UACGUAGGUGGCGAGCGUUGUCCGGAAUUACUGGGCGUAAAGAGCGCGCAGGCGGCUGGUCAAGUCCGACGUGAAAUCUCCCGGCUUAACUGGGAAAUUGCAUCGGAAACUGAUCGGCUCGAAGGUGGGAGAGGGUAGCGGAAUUCCCGGUGUAGUGGUGAAAUGCGUAGAUAUCAGGAGGAACACCAAUGGCGAAGGCAGCUCGCUGGGACGGUACUGACGCUGAGGCGCGAAAGCGUGGGGAGCAAACAGG
rnacentral:rRNA from 1 species